rnacentral:lncRNA from 1 species
UAUUAUUGUAUUUAAACAAUCUCUAAAGCACGGAAUCCAUGCCAGAGUUAAUCUAUCCAACAGAACACGCCUGCCUUAAAUGUCUCCUCUCUAGUCCUGCUGUUAUUUCUGUUAUGUAGAGAUACAUUAGCAUGUUGCACAUUUAUUUAAUGUUCACAUGCUGGCUACUUGAGCUCUCCCUCAAACAAAGACUUUCACACUGCAGUAUCACUGGAGAAAGUUAUGAAACCUUGACUUCAGCUCUGAAAUCAAACCCUUCACGCCUGAUGGAGCUGGAUCUCACAGGAAACUAUCCUGGAAAAUCAGGAUUAAAGUGGCUUUUUAAUUUACUAGGGAGUGGAAAGCGCUAUUUAAUGAACAUCAGCUUUUUGACAAGUCCUGCUGCAGAGGAGGCGUAUCAGUAUCUUACUAAAGUUCUGGGUACAAAUCCUUUACUACUCCAAGAACUGGAUCUAAGCACCAUUAAACUCGGAGACCUUGAGUGGGAGAAACUCUCUGCACUUUUGAUGGACUCUUAUUGCAUAGUAGAGAAAAUAAAGUAAGGGAUAAUGACUUUUGACAUUAAAUCUCUUUUGAUGUGUGGUCAAAUUUACUGUGUCUCUGCAAACUUUUGUGGGUGAAGGCAGCUAUGGUAACCCAGGUAAAAUGGUUGUCACUUUGCUAUCAAGCAUAACACUAACUACAUUGUGGCUACAUACUUGGUUCUUGAUUUGUCACUGGCAGAUUGUUACAAAGGAGGCUCCCGUGCUGCCUCCUUCCCACCACCAGAGGGAACUCUCACCUGAAUAUUGACUCUACCCAUUGAACUCCAUUUCCCAUCCUGCCUCAUCCCAGGGACUAAUUACACACACACCUGCAGCUAAUAUACACACACACAUAUAAGCAGCUCACUCACUCCUACACACCGCGAAGUCUUGAUUUGCCCCGGCUGUCACUACUGAUUCACACCAGCAGCACCAUCUCUACCAGGUGGACCGUCAGAUCCAGG